rnacentral:snRNA from 1 species
AUACUUACCUGGCAGGGGAGAUACCAUGAUCACGAAGGUGGUUUUCCCAGGGCGAGGCUUAUCCAUUGCACUCCGGAUGUGCUGACCCCUGCGAUUUCCCCAAAUGUGGGAAACUCGACUGCAUAAUUUGUGGUAGUGGGGACUGCGUUCGCGCUUUCCCCU